AUCAUGAAACUUCAUGGGUAGAUUGAUCAUGACUCGCAGAUGACCCCUAUUGAUUUUGAGGUCAAGGUCACGGUGACCCGAAAUAGUAAAAUGGUUUCCGGAUGAUAACUCAAGAACACAUAUGCCUAGGAUCAUGAAACUUCAUGGGUAGAAUGAUCAUGACUCGCAGAUGACCCCUAUUGAUUUUGAGGUCACUAGGUCAAAGGUCAAGGUCACAGUGAC